rnacentral:piRNA from 1 species
UGUUUCCUUCAGGGUUGGAAAAAGCA